ensembl:lncRNA
CCCUUACAUAAGGAUGAGGAGGGGUGGAUCUGGGCUCCACCCCUUCUGGUCACUCAGGUGCACCUGAGCUUCCUGGGUUAGCCAUUCCUUCUCACCUGGUGCUCAACCAUUGGGUCAGGCUGUGGCCUAGAAAUUCUGCUGUACUAGUAGGUGUAAAGGGCAGGGAGAACAAUUACUGAAACGUGCUUCUACAAGGCAGAGCAGAGCACAAGAGGCUAGACAGAGCAUUUCAUUGUCUGAUUACAUCUAUUGAUGGGCUUACAGUGGAUCUGAUUUUAACAGCACCUGCUGAUUUUAUGGCCCUUCCCAAGCAUACCUAAGCAUCUGGCGGUUUCCCUCUUCGUCCUACUAUAUAAAGGAUUGAUUGUACCUUACACUGUAGACACCGAUCCUGCUUUAAUUAAAGAUCAACAGAGAGAACUCUCAGGAUGCCAGCAAUCUAUUCCAGUUCAUCACUAUUGCUGUAUUCAGAAUAAGCUGUUUUUUUCAUGUGGGGGGAAAACUUUAUGAUCAUAGUGCUCUCUCUUUUUUGCUUCACAUGCUGAG